UCCCUGGUGGUUCAGUGGCUAAGACUUUCCGCUCCCAAUGCAAGGGACCUGGGUUCAAUCCCUGGUCAGGGAA
rfam:Ovis aries breed Texel chromosome 1, whole genome shotgun sequence.